rnacentral:rRNA from 1 species
GGACUACCGGGGUAUCUAAUCCCGUUCGCUCCCCUAGCUUUCGCACCUGAGCGUCAGGAACUCAUCAGGACGCUGCCUUCGCCUUUGGUGUUCUUCCAGAUCUCUACGCAUUUCACCGCUCCACCUGGAAUUCCGCGUCCCUCUCAAGCCCUCAAGUGAAGCAGUUUUCCAAGGCCUGUGAUGGUUAAGCCAUCACCUGUCACUCGAAACUUACCCCACCGCCUGCGUGCUCUUUACGCCCAAUAAAUCCGGACAACGCUUGCCCCCUACGUAUUACCGCGGCUGCUGGCAC